GUCCCUGUAGCGCAAUGGACAGCGAGUUGAACUUCUAAUACAAAGGUUGUGGGUUUGAAUCCCAUCUGGAAUA